ACCUGAAACCGUGUGCUUACAAGUAGUCAGAGCCCGUUAAUGGGUGAUGGCGUGCCUUUUGUAGAAUGAACCGGCGAGUUACGAUUUGAUGCAAGGUUAAGCAGUAAAUGUGGAGCCGUAGCGAAAGCGAGUCUGAAUAGGGCGUUUAGUAUUUGGUCGUAGACCCGAAACCAGGUGAUCUACCCUUGGUCAGGUUGAAGUUCAGGUAACACUGAAUGGAGGACCGAACCGACUUACGUUGAAAAGUGAGCGGAUGAACUGAGGGUAGCGGAGAAAUUCCAAUCGAACCUGGAGAUAGCUGGUUCUCUCCGAAAUAGCUUUAGGGCUAGCCUCAAGUGAUGAUUAUUGGAGGUAGAGCACUGUUUGGACGAGGGGCCCCUCUCGGGUUACCGAAUUCAGACAAACUCCGAAUGCCAAUUAAUUUAACUUGGGAGUCAGAACAUGGGUGAUAAGGUCCGUGUUCGAAAGGGAAACAGCCCAGACCACCAGCUAAGGUCCCAAAAUAUAUGUUAAGUGGAAAAGGAUGUGGCGUUGCCCAGACAACUAGGAUGUUGGCUUAGAAGCAGCCAUCAUUUAAAG
rnacentral:rRNA from 1 species